UACGUAGGGUGCAAGCGUUGUCCGGAAUUAUUGGGCGUAAAGAGCUCGUAGGCGGUUUGUCGCGUCGAAUGUGAAAACCCGGGGCUCAACCCCGGGCCUGCAGCCGAUACGGGCAGACUAGAAUUCGGUAGGGGAGACUGGAAUUCCUGGUGUAGCGGUGAAAUGCGCAGAUAUCAGGAGGAACACCGGUGGCGAAGGCGGGUCUCUGGGCCGAUAUUGACGCUGAGGAGCGAAAGCGUGGGGAGCGAACAGG
rnacentral:rRNA from 1 species